CUAGAACUAAGAAGACCCUCUCUCUCUCUCUAACAAAUUUCCUUCGGUCUCCGAGAAAAAAAAAGAAGAAGAAGAAGCCAAAGUCAACGGCGGGAGGAAGAACGACAGGUUAUUACCAAAUUCCGGCGAGGUAAUCCGACAAUGCGAGGGUUACUUCUACUCUGUGGUGUUGUUCUGAUUCAGCUUCUUGCUGCUCAAACCGAUGCUCAAGGAUCUAAAAGUAAAUGGCAGACGCUCACCGGUUUCUCUCCUCGUGUGAUUGCUCGUGGAGGGUUCUCUGGAUUAUUCCCAGAUUCUAGCAUCGAUGCUUACAACUUCGCAAUGCUGACUAGUGUAGAAGACGUUGUUCUGUGGUGUGAUCUUCAGCUAACCAAAGACGGAGCUGGGAUCUGCUUCCCUGGUUUAACAAUGAGCAAUGCUUCUAAUAUUGAAGCUGCUUACCCAAAUCGUACAAACACUUACCUUGUUAAUGGAGUCUCUACACAGGGCUGGUUCACCAUCGAUUUCUCCUUGAAAGAUCUCAACAAAGUUAACUUAAUUAGAGGUAUAUUAUCUCGGUCAGAGAGAUUCGAUGGAAACGGCUACUCGAUCUUGACGGUUCAAGAUGUAAACACAGAGCUGAAACCACAAGGCCUUUGGUUAAACGUUCAGCACGAGGCCUUCUACGCGCAGCACAAUCUAAGCAUGACCACCUUUCUAACCACAGCUUCGAAAACUGUUAUCAUCGACUUCAUCUCGUCCCCUGAAGUCAAUUUCUUCAAGAAAAUCGCUGGACGUUUCGGGCGUGAAGGACCAAUCUUCGUGUUCCGUUUUCUCGAGAAAGAAACAUUCGAGCCGACGACAAACAGAACAUACGGUUCCAUCUUGAGUAACUUGACUUUCGUCAAAACGUUUGCUUCAGGGAUUCUUGUUCCCAAGUCUUACGUGUUGCCACUAGAUGACAAGCAGUACUUGCUUCCGUCUACAUCUUUAGUUCAAGAUGCUCACAAAGCAGGACUUGAAGUGUUUGUGUCAGGUUUUGCUAAUGAUGUUGAUAUUGCACAUGACUAUAGUUAUGAUCCUGUCUCUGAGUAUCUAUCUUUUGUGGAUAAUGGCAACUUCUCUGUCGAUGGUGUUCUCUCUGACUUUCCCAUAAGUGCAUCUGCAUCCGUCGAAUGCUUCUCCCACAUGGGCAGAAACGCUACAAAACAAGUUGAUUUUCUUGUUAUAUCCAAAAAUGGUGCGAGUGGGGACUAUCCUGGAUGUACAGACUUGGCAUAUGCCAAAGCAAUCAAGGAUGGUGCUGAUGUUAUCGACUGCUCGGUCCAAAUGUCCAGUGACGGUACACCCUUUUGCUCAAGUUCCAUCGAUCUUGGGAAAACCACAAUGGUCGCCCAAACUCCUUUGAGAAACCGUUCAACAAAUGUUCCUGAGAUUAGCUCACUUGGUGGUAUAUACACCUUUAGCCUCACCUGGCCUGAGAUCCAGACCUUGACUCCUGCUAUAUCAAACCCAUACAGAACAUACAAUAUGUUUAGGAACCCAAACGAGAGAAACGCUGGGAAGCUUGUUUCACUUUCUGACUUCCUAAACUUGGCAAAGAACUCCACCUCUCUUUCCGGUGUUUUGAUCAGUGUGGAGAAUGCAGCAUACCUGAGAGAGAACCAAGGGCUAGACGUGGUGAAAGCGGUUCUUGACACACUCACUGAAACCGGCUACACCAACAUCACAACCAAAAAGGUGAUGAUUCAGUCAACAAACAGCUCGGUUCUACUCGACUUCAAGAAGCAGAGCCGGUACGAGACUGUGUACAAAGUUGAAGAAACCAUCCGUGACAUUCUCGACUCUGCUAUAGAAGACAUAAAGAGAUUCGCUAGUGCUGUUGUCAUUGUCAAAUCAUCGGUCUUUCCAGACUCUGAGGGUUUUGUCACGGGGCAAACCAAUGUUGUGGAGAGGCUUCAGAAGUCUCAGCUUCCGGUAUAUGUUGAGCUGUUUCAGAAUGAGUUUGUGUCUCAACCUUAUGACUUCUUCUCUGACGCAAAUGUUGAGAUAAACUCUUAUGUUACUGGAGCUGGUGUGAAUGGAACCGUCACUGAGUUCCCUUUCACAGCUGCUAGAUACAGAAGGAAUAGAUGUUUGGGAAGCAAAGAAACUCCACCUUACAUGGCUCCUGUCCAACCAGGUGGACUCUUACAAGUUGUGAAUCAUGCGUCCUUACCUCCAGCCGAAGCUCCAAACCCGGUUUUCACAGAUGCUGAUGUUACUGAGCCGCCACUACCUCCGGUUACAGCAAAAGCCCCAACCUCAACAACCCCUGGAACACCAUCAAAACCAUCAACCAAUGCACCAGCACCUAGCGGACAAACCCGCCUCACCUUAUCUCUUCUCCUUUCUGUUUUUCCAAUGGCUAUUGCCUCUCUUCUACUUCUGUGAUCAAACCCUUGAUCACACAUCUUUGUUUGUGACAAUGUCAGAUCUUAACAACCGGAACCAUAAUAUUUUCUCAUGUUUAUAUUCUAGUUCUGUCCUAAAAAGAGCAGGAUAUUCUUGGAGUGUAACUUUCCCUCAGAUUCAUUUGUUGUUGUAACAUAUACUCUUACUACUAUUGCCUUGUGUCUUGUUAUAUCUA